AGCAGCGGGAGCAGCGCGAGCGGCAGGAGCAGCUGGAGUGGGAGCGCGAGCGCGAGCGCAGGCUGUCGGCCGCUCCAUCCUCCGACAGCUCCCCGUAUAGCGCGCCACUUCCUGAGUAUGCCAGUUGCCAGCCUCCUUCGGCACCUCCUCCAUCCUAUGCUAAAGUCAUCUCAGCUCCAGUGUCGGAGGCCACUCCUGACUCUGCUGUAGUGACCGCUUUGCCACCUCCUUCCACACCCCCUACACCACCACUUCGACACUCAGCGACACGUUUUGCUGCAUCUGUAGGUUCAGCCUUCCACCCCGUUCUUCCCCAUUACGCUACAGUUCCUCGUCCUCUGAACAAAACCUCUCGGCCUCCUUCUCCUGCGAACACACCCUCUUCUCAGCCUCCAGCUACGAAGCCCUGUGCCUGGUCUACUUCCACUGUCGCGUCCCUCCCUCCAUCUCCUCCAGUAAUGAUUAGCAGCCCCCCAGGCAAAGCGACCGGUCCGAGGCCUGUCCUCCCUGUUUGUGUCUCUUCUCCUGUGCCCCCAAUGCCUCCGUCACCAGCAGCACCCAAUGGGCCGCUUGACUCUGUCCCGUGUCCGGUGUCCCCACCGCCUACCUCAGGGCCAGCAGCGCCGCCGCCUCCACCUCCGCUGCCUUCCCUCGCACCGCGCUCACACUGUGGAUCACAAGCCUCUCCUCCUCCAAGCACCCCUCUUGCCUCAACUCCCUCAUCCAAGCCUAGUGUUCUCCCUUCUCCCUCUGCAGCUGCCCCUGCCUCUGCGGAGACUCCUCUAAACUCUGUGCUGGGGGACUCCUCUGCUUCUGAGCCAGGCUUGCAGGCAGCCUCUCAGCCGGCCGAGACUCCAGCCCAACAGGGCGUUGUCUUGGGACCACCUGCACCUCCGCCCCCACCUCCGCUCCCCUCAGGUCCCGCCCUGGCUCCAGCAGCGCUGCCCCCCCACCCGGGGCC